rnacentral:lncRNA from 1 species
CCUACAAAGUUGCAGAGGAAGUUUCUCAGGCUGUCAUCCAACUUCCCGCCUUUAAUUUCUGUUGUUUGAUAGAGAAUGACUAAGAAAGCUAGUGACUCAGAAGGCUUGAGCGGCUGUCUGCCGAGCUGGACGGUCAAGGGAGGGAGAUGGGUCGGUGGAAAAAGAAAUCAAGAGAGGAAAGGGAAGAAGCAGAGAGAAGACUCAAAAGCCAGCCCAAAAAUAGACGAUGGGCGAUCCUGGCCUGGUUCCGCAGGCAUCGAGACCCCCGGAGCGCUGCUGCUCCUCCGGCAGGAAGCUCUGGAGGAUUCUCACAGCUGGUCUUGGAGGGCCGCUUCCUGGAAGCCUGUCAGAGCAUCUCAUCCUCAGCAGAGGAAGGGCAGGACCGUGGCUCCCAGUACCAGGUCGUGGCCCAGGGCAUGUGGCAGGUCGUCCAGGAGGCGCUGGAGGGCGGCGGGGGCGGCCGGAAGCUGCAGACGAAGCUCAGGUCGGUGGCAGCCACAGUGGAGUGGGCCCGGGGCGCCUCCCGGGAGCUGGGUGGAGACCUGGCCUCCUGGGACUGCCAGCUGCGGACACGGCUGAGGAAUGACGCUGAGAACUGGGUGCCCCCGAGCCCUGGAGACCGAGUGCCCCUGAGCCCGGGGGACCAGCUGGGCGGGUACCUGGCAGAGCUGGCCAAGGCCGUGGAUCGUGGCCUGGGCCCCCAGAGGGCAGGCCGGCUGGGAGCCCGCCUCUCAGCGACCGACAGAGAGUGCUUCCAGGAGGUGCUCCUGGGCCGCCUCUCCAUGCUCCUGACCCGCAGUGGAGACCGGGACAGCUGCCGGGAGCUCUACACCUGGGCCGGGAAGACCUUGUUUGGGCAGCUGCCGACGACGCCAAGGCCCGCCGCCGCCAGGAAACUCCUGGACCCGCUAAUGUUUGCCACCUGGAUGUCCCAGGUGCAGAGCCGGCUGGUGGAGCUGACCCAGAAAGAGUUGGAAAAGCAACUAGAAAAUGUCCUGACCUGUGAUCAGAAAGAGUGGGCCACCUCUCCCUGCCAGGCGUUCCUCAAAAUCUUCCAGCUGUUGAAAGGAACCAUAGAUUCGGUGCAAGACAUCGGGCCUCCCAUUACCAGCCGGGUUCAAGCCAUGGUUCUGAACACGUUCUCAGAGUUUCUGAAAAGGUACCGGGCUGAGGGUACCGCCCACUUCCUCCAGCAGCAGGCCGGUGCCGGACCCUCCCCCCAGCUGCACGUGCUGCAGAACUGCUGCGUCCUCAGAGCCUACUGCGGCAUCACUUCGGGAGGGAAGACAAGGAGCUGGCUCACACUCUGCGAUCCCUCCGGCGGGGCCUGGAGCGCUAUGCCGGUCUGCUUCCUCCUCCCACAAACAAGGUAG